CUUAGCAUGAAGUCAGAC
rnacentral:rRNA from 1 species